CCUACGGGAGGCAGCAGUGGGGAAUCUUGCGCAAUGGGCGAAAGCCUGACGCAGCAACGCCGCGUGCGGGAUGAAGGCCUUCGGGUUGUAAACCGCUUUCAGCAGGGAAGAAAUUGACGGUACCUGCAGAAGAAGCCCCGGCCAACUACGUGCCAGCAGCCGCGGUAACACGUAGGGGGCGAGCGUUGUCCGGAUUUAUUGGGCGUAAAGAGCUCGUAGGCGGUUCGGUAAGUCGGGUGUGAAACCUCCAGGCUCAACCUGGAGACGCCACCUGAAACUGCUGUGACUAGAGUCCGGUAGGGGAGUGUGGAACUCCUGGUGUAGCGGUGAAAUGCGCAGAUAUCAGGAAGAACACCAGCGGCGAAGGCGGCACUCUGGGCCGGUACUGACGCUGAGGAGCGAAAGCGUGGGUAGCAAACAGGAUUAGAUACCCUGGUAGUCCACGCCGUAAACGUUGGGCACUAGGUGUGGGUCUCAACCAACGAGAUCCGUGCCGCAGCUAACGCAUUAAGUGCCCCGCCUGGGGAGUACGGCCGCAAGGCUAAACUAAAUGAAUUGACGG
rnacentral:rRNA from 1 species